CCUACGGGUGGCAGCAGUGAGGAAUAUUGGUCAAUGGGCGCGAGCCUGAACCAGCCAAGUAGCGUGAAGGAUGACUGCCCUACGGGUUGUAAACUUCUUUUAUAAGGGAAUAAAGUGUGGGACGUGUCCUAUUUUGUAUGUACCUUAUGAAUAAGGAUCGGCUAACUCCGUGCCAGCAGCCGCGGUAAUACGGAGGAUGCGAGCGUUAUCCGGAUUUAUUGGGUUUAAAGGGUGCGUAGGCGGGCUUUUAAGUCAGCGGUAAAAAUUCGGGGCUCAACCCCGUCCGGUCGUUGAAACUGGGGGCCUUGAGUGGGCGAGAAGAAGGCGGAAUUCGUGGUGUAGCGGUGAAAUGCUUAGAUAUCACGAAGAACUCCGAUUGCGAAGGCAGCUUACUAAACUGCCACUGACAUUGAUGCUCGAAAGUGUGGGUAUCAAACAGGAUUAGAUACCCCUGUAGUC
rnacentral:rRNA from 1 species